UGCUGUAAAGGGGUGCCUCGAGGUGGCGUCCAGGUGGCCUGGGGAGGGCUCGGUGGCCGCUGGCACCGCACUCUGAAGCAGCCUCCCGGGCCACCUCCUGUCUCACCACCUCGAGGCGGCGCCCACGCGUAGUCUAUGGCUCUCUGUGGCUCCGGGCGCAGGCUGGCCAGCCGGGGACACUGUGUGGGACCUGGCAGUACCCACGGGCUGGGCAGGGACUCACCACGGGUUCUGCGCUUCAGCGGUGGUCACAGCAGAGCCGGCCCUGCCACCCUGCGCUCUUCGCCCCUGCGCUGGGCACUCCCUGGCUUCAGGGCACCCGGGUCAUUCACUGCUAUCUCCAGCAGCACCUGGUAAAGAUGGAUAUAAACGACAUGCAGUGGCGACCAAGGCGAGCUUUCCAAGGGUAAACCAGAGACUGCAGUCCAGUGGCCGCGGAGAAUCCCAACCAGCUAAAGUUCGAACAGCUGAGAGGGACAGUUUGGACUGUAGGGGAAACCACGGUGGCACCGGUCACCUCUGGGUGUCAUCGGAGGCCUUCACUCUGCUCCUUGCCUGCCUGUGGAUUUCUCCAGGUGCCAAGAAAGUAGAAUGUGAGCCCCGGCUGACGGGCACUGAAGCCAUCCUUCCCGAUCCGUGAAUUAAAUGAGGCGAAUUGGUCAGUACAGAACACAUGGGUUCACUCCUCGUUCAAGAGGCAUUUCAGACAUUGCGGUGCCUGCGCAGUGACCCAGGCCAGUGUCAAGAGCAGAGCCCACCUGGUCUUUCACUUUAGUGUUGUGUAGCCAUGAGGGUUUCCUUAAAUGUCCCUAGGCAUCUAGUAUUUCCAUUUGUCACAAAUUAUAAAAUAAAAUUUGUGCUUGAUUAUGAACUUUUAA